rnacentral:rRNA from 1 species
UGGGGAAUUUUGGACAAUGGGCGAAAGCCUGAUCCAGCAAUGCCGCGUGUGUGAAGAAGGCCUUCGGGUUGUAAAGCACUUUUGUCCGGAAGAAAUCCUUGGCUCUAAUACAGUCGGGGGAUGACGGUACCGGAAGAAUAAGCACCGGCUAACUACGUGCCAGCAGCCGCGGUAAUACGUAGGGUGCAAGCGUUAAUCGGAAUUACUGGGCGUAAAGCGUGCGCAGGCGGUUUGCUAAGACCGAUGUGAAAUCCCCGGGCUCAACCUGGGAACUGCAUUGGUGACUGGCAGGCUAGAGUAUGGCAGAGGGGGGUAGAAUUCCACGUGUAGCAGUGAAAUGCGUAGAGAUGUGGAGGAAUACCGAUGGCGAAGGCAGCCCCCUGGGCCAAUACUGACGCUCAUGCACGAAAGCGUGGGGGAGCAAACAGGAUUAGAUACCCUGGUAGUCCACGCCCUAAACGAUGUCAACUAGUUGUUGGGGAUUCAUUUCCUUAGUAACGUAGCUAACGCGUGAAGUUGACCGCCUGGGGAGUACGGUCGCAAGAUUAAAACUCAAAGGAAUUGACGGGGUCAU